rnacentral:lncRNA from 1 species
UCGGUUCUGAUCAUCAACAAGGACACCAUUAUGCAUAUCCACCUGGAGGGCCACCACCUCCGGGUCAAUUUUACCCACCUUAUUAUCGUCCACCCUAUGGAUAUAUGCCACCACCUCCUCCACCUUAUCACCAGUAUCCUCCUCCACCUUAUCAAGCUACAGCACCCCCACCACCUAGUGCUCAGCAAGCCGCACAUCAGCAGAACCCUCGGCCAGCUGCAGCAGCAACCACACAGCAGCCUUAAUCUGGGCAGUUUUGUC